rnacentral:lncRNA from 1 species
UUUGGGGCACUUCAGGACUUAAAUGAUGAUUACAAGGUUUCAGAACAAGAGAGCAAAUUCUCCCUGGCAGGGUUCCUAGCAGACAGCUAGGUCCUUAGUUUUGAAUUACUAUAAACUGAGUUCACUGAGGUCUGGACAAUGACGUUUAGAGCUUCUGAAGAACUCUGGUCCCCUGUGACCCAUCCUCAGUACAAGGGUGAAUUUCAUACACCAUCAAAAGGGGAAGGUCAGGAGUCGACACUUCUGCAGAAAUGGGACUGAACUUGCAGGGAGAAUUGAGCUCCUCCACUGCAGAGACAAUGGUGCCCCUUUUCUGUAGCUGCAGCACCCAACUCAGGGGCUAGACUGACCCCUGGUAGGUGGUCACCUAAUGAAAGCAGGGCUGUUGGGGGGCCAGGAGCCCAAAUGGGCCUCCACAGCUCCCUCUCUUAGUGCAUGUGGUCAA